UAUACCCCGCGGAGCAGCAGUGCGCGUGCAUGCUGGCCUCUCAGUCAAGCGUUUUCUGUGUCACCAACGCCACCAUGGUUCCUCAGAGGGUCAUCUUUCUUCUUGUUCUGGUCGCUUGUCUGUCUCACGUUUUGGGUUCUGUUGCUGAGCUCGAGGAGAGUCGUGCACAGGGACUGCUGCUGGCGCGUGUGAUCAGACGAGCGGCUCGUAUUCUUUCGGGGGGAAAGAAAGCAACCUUGGCUGAGGAAGGUGGUUCAGGCUGUUGCCCUGACAGUCAUGUGAAGGGGAAUCUGUGGUAAGAAACGCAGGCUGGAUCUGGCUCUGGAUCUGGCCCUACAAGACUCUAAUGGAUGGAAAAGGAUAAAGGUUACACUGCAGUCCAUGUGAAGGUUUCUUCAGCAUCCCAUAACUAUGCAAAUAUCAGUCUGUGCAAGAGUCCACAGUAUUUGUUGUGAACACCAUAUUGCUCCUUCUGGUCCUCAAUAAAAAAUAAAGAUAAAUCAUUGUG